rnacentral:rRNA from 1 species
UACGAAGGUCCCAAGCGUUAUCCGGAUUUAUUGGGGUUAAAGGGUGCGUAGGCGGUCUAUUAAGUCAGUGGUGAAAGCCCCAAGCUCAACUUGGGAACUGCCAUUGAUACUGAUGGACUUGAGUACAUUUGAGGUGGGCGGAAUGUGUCAUGUAGCGGUGAAAUGCUUAGAUAUGACACAGAACACCGAUUGCGAAGGCAGCUCACUACACAAUCAUUGACGCUGAGGCACGAAAGCGUGGGGAUCAAACAGG